rnacentral:rRNA from 1 species
UGCCAGCAGCCGCGGUAAUACGGAGGGUGCAAGCGUUAUCCGGAUUUAUUGGGUUUAAAGGGUCCGCAGGCGGAUAAUUAAGUCAGAGGUGAAAUCCUACAGCUUAACUGUAGAACUGCCUUUGAUACUGGUUAUCUUGAGUAUAGUUGAAGUAGGCGGAAUACGUUGUGUAGCGGUGAAAUGCAUAGAUAUGACGUAGAACACCAAUUGCGAAGGCAGCUUACUAAGCUAUUACUGACGCUCAUGGACGAAAGUAUGGGGAGCGAACAGGAUUAGAUA